UUUGUAGUCUUGUUUCUUAAUAACAUUCUUUUGGUUCGCGCUUCGUUCCGAUGUGCAUUUCCAAUAUCUCUCAUCGUUUGCGCGAUAAUGGAUGCCAGUUUUUCCUAUUCAGAUUGUGAUGUUACUUUCUUUCAAUCUGAGUUCAAAAAGAUAGUUUGUCAACGUAGUCUAAGAAUCAAGGAAAUACACAAAAUGUAUGAUUAAUGAUGGUGUAGUGUGUUUUUUUAUUUCCGCAUUAUAUUUUAAAGUUCUUUCUUACGAAAUUUGAUUAUUUGACUAAUUAGUUGAUUAGCUUCACUUGUAUUUUACAUCUCUAACGUCGCCAAAAUUGUAGUUAAUUAGUACUUAGAUGUUGAAAAUUAGAAAUAUAAUUUUUAUAUCGUAUUAAAAUUUCUUUGUAAACUUUUUCUUUUUUUUACAGUUUUUAGCAAUGAAAUUUCUAGAGAAAUUUCAAUUAAAUCUAACAAACUGUUGGAUGUUUAUAUGCUUUUGGAUUAUUCGAUAGUUAUUUGAAUAUAUCAAGCGAUCAUUUAUUACAUGCCAUCACCAUCAAUUAUAUUCUCGAUCUAUGAUUGCUAAUUCUUAUGAUGGAAAAUCGUUUGUCAAUCGGUCAAUCUGGGGCAAAUAACAAGCAACAUCGUGGGGUAGCACUCGGUGGUGAAGAUGUCUAUCGAGCAUGCGCAAACUAUAGGAUCGAUAGCUUGCACAGAAAAUAAAUGAUGGUGAUAGUAGCGGCGAAAUCUUCAGAGCUGACAAUAAGUGAGAAAGAAAAUGAUAUAUGUUUAU